AACGAACGCUGGCGGUAUGCUUAACACAUGCAAGUCGAACGAACAAAAUUGGGGCUUGCUCCAAUUUUAGUGAGUGGCAAACGGGUGAGUAACACGUGGGAAUCUACCUAUCAGUACGGAAUAACAUUUGGAAACAGAUGCUAAUACCGUAUAUCCUCCAAGGAGGAAAGAUUUAUCGCUGAUAGAUGAGCCCGCGUAAGAUUAGGUAGUUGGUAGGGUAAUGGCCUACCAAGCCGACGAUCUUUAGCUGGUCUGAGAGGAUGAUCAGCCACACUGGGACUGAUACACGGCCCAGACUCCUACGGGAGGCAGCAGUGGGGAAUAUUGGACAAUGGGCGAAAGCCUGAUCCAGCAAUACCGCGUGAAUGAUGAAGGCCUUAGGGUUGUAAAGUUCUUUUAGUUGGAAAGAUAAUGACGGUACCAACAGAAAAAGCCCCGGCUAACUCCGUGCCAGCCGCCGCCGUAA
rnacentral:rRNA from 1 species